GCCGGGUUAGUGUAAUGGAAAACGUCGCACGGCCGGGGUCAACUCCAUGAGAGGCAAAGUCCUCUGUAGGGGCCCGGCAGGUCUGGGUUCGAAUCCCAGACCCGGUA